AUCCCCUUUUCCUUAGUUUUCCCUCAUUUGGAGGGUUCUUUGGUUCCCCCUUCUCCUGUCUUCACUUUGGUGACCUGGACCUAAAGCUGCGAGUUUAUGGAAACCUGGAAAAGGGGCGCCCAGAGCAGGGGUCGCACGGCAGGUCGGCGCCGCUCUAUUCUUUCCAGUUUUCAUUCCUUUAAGUGAAAGCCUCUUGGAGGGGGGAUAUCUGGAAGAACCGAGGUAGCACAUGCACAAAAGCGAUGAUCGUUUGUGGACUCGUGAAGGCAGGCGAUGGUUCUGUCGGCCGCGGUGGCGCAGCCGGGUGGGGCCGACGAUGGAUCCUGCCGUGGUGCCCACGGCCGGCCGUAGGCCGAGGGGGGCCAGGACUCCCGAGAACGGCGAAGGACUGCAUAAGUGAAGGAAUUGGCUUUAGACAGGAAUGUAAGGAGUUCAUUUUCCAAAAGACUGGAAGACAAUAUAUGGGUGCAGAUGCUGGUGAGUGGAUGUGGUUGAGCCUAUGCAAGAAAUGCUGCUAAUUUACUAAGAGAAUCAAGAGGGAUGCACCAAGACAGAACAACAAAGAUUCUGUCGACUAGUUUGGUAACUCUAGAGGAUAGAGUACAGUGUUACACAAAAUAAGAUCUAGCCCUAUACAUGGUAGUUUAGCAAAAAGAGUACUAACAGGGAGCCAUUGUUCUCAUUUCUGCCAUUGGCUCUCUGUGUGGUCUCAGGCCAGUCACUUUCUCUCUGCCUCAUAGUGUUACUGUACCAGUUUAUAUAUAUUAUGUCAACCAGAAAAAGCCACGUUCUUUGAAGCAAUCUUGUGGGGGCAGACAUAUUAAUGGGGAUUAAAAGUUGGAACAUUUGGAUUAGGUUGUUUCCAUGGAAAUGCCC